UACGGAGGGGGCUAGCGUUGUUCGGAAUCACUGGGCGUAAAGCGCACGUAGGCGGAUCUUUAAGUCAGGGGUGAAAUCCCGAGGCUCAACCUCGGAACUGCCUUUGAUACUGGGGAUCUCGAGUCCGGGAGAGGUGAGUGGAACUGCGAGUGUAGAGGUGAAAUUCGUAGAUAUUCGCAAGAACACCAGUGGCGAAGGCGGCUCACUGGCCCGGAACUGACGCUGAGGUGCGAAGGCGUGGGGAGCAAACAGG
rnacentral:rRNA from 1 species